AGUGAACGCUGGCGGUAGGCCUAACACAUGCAAGUCGAACGGCAGCACAGGAGAGCUUGCUCUCUGGGUGGCGAGUGGCGGACGGGUGAGGAAUACAUCGGAAUCUACUCUGUCGUGGGGGAUAACGUAGGGAAACUACGCUAAUACCGCAUACGACCUACGGGUGAAAGCAGGGGACCUUCGGGCCUUGCGCGAUUGAAUGAGCCGAUGUCGGAUUAGCUAGUUGGCGGGGUAAGGCCCACCAAGGCGACGAUCCGUAGCUGGUCUGAGAGGAUGAUCAGCCACACUGGAACUGAGACACGGUCCAGACUCCUACGGGAGGCAGCAGUGGGGAAUAAUGGACAAUGGGCGCAAGCCUGAUCCAGCCAUACCGCGUGGGUGAAGAAGGCCUUCGGGUUGUAAAGCCCUUUUGUUGGGAAAGAAAUCUAGCUGGCUAAUACCCGGUUGGGAUGACGGUACCCAAAGAAUAAGCACCGGCUAACUUCGUGCCAGCCGCCGCCGUAA
rnacentral:rRNA from 1 species